rnacentral:rRNA from 1 species
AUUGAACGCUGGCGGCAGGCCUAACACAUGCAAGUCGGACGGUAGCACAGAGGAGCUUGCUCCUCGGGUGACGAGUGGCGGACGGGUGAGUAAUGUCUGGGGAUCUGCCCGAUAGAGGGGGAUAACCACUGGAAACGGUGGCUAAUACCGCAUAACGUCGCAAGACCAAAGAGGGGGACCUUCGGGCCUCUCACUAUCGGAUGAACCCAGAUGGGAUUAGCUAGUAGGCGGGGUAAUGGCCCACCUAGGCCACGAUCCCUAGCUGGUCUGCGAGGAUGACCGGCCACACAGGAACUGAGACACGGACCAGACGCCUACGGGAGGUAGGAGUGGGGAAUAUUGCACAAUGGGCGCAAGCCGGAUGCAGCCAUGCCGCGUGUAUGAAGAAGGCCUUCGGGUUGUAAAGUACUUUCAGCGGGGAGGAAGGCGAUGUAGUUAAUAACCUUGUCGAUUGACGUUACCCACAGAAGAAGCACCGGCUAACUCCGUGCCAGCAGCCGCGGUAA